AAAAAAAAAAAAAAGCUGGACCAUACCAGACCUAGUCCUAUUUGAAUCAUAUUUAAAUAUGAUUCUCUGCUCAAGAUGACAAUUUGCAUGCAACAUGUUUCAGAAGCCCAUCUGGUGUUACAAAAUCCACUGUGGUUUCAACCUGUCCUUUCAAUCAACCAUCCUGGUUGGAUUAUAAAGACUUUACAAUAAAAAUCAUAGGAAUAAUAAGGAUAAUAGAAUUGACACAGUAGAAAAAACAAAACGAGGAACCAGAUAGUAAAGGAGGUGGCAGAAAAAUCUAUAUAUUGAACAACACAACUUUUGGCCGAGGAGGACUAUAAAACUGAGCCUAAUCUUUGGUCUUAGCAUCCCAUCAGCCUGGGAGGGAAAAUAAUGCCCUGAAUGAGCACCAGGCAUCCCAUUCAGGUCCCAUCAGGCCAGUUAUGUGGGCUAUGAUUCAAGCCAUGGUUACGGCUCUGCUGCUGGAAGAAGGAUUCACCUGGUUUUGUGGUCUCGCUCUUCAGAAAUUGUAAUCAUUAUCCAUCCUAAGGACGGAGGAAUCAACGUUUCGGUAGAGAAGAAUUAGGUGCAACCUAGACAAGUGAGACAUUUCUAUGGUCUGGGUCUGAGAAAACAUGACAGGAAAGAAAGAGAAGGGCUGCAAGGCCACGGGCUCAAAGCAGAGGCUACCGAAGGACAAAUGUGUUACAAAGUGUUAUGAAAUGAAUUGACUUACUAGGAAGGCACAACAUCCAGCAUUACAAAAGGACUGCUCUGCCCUAGCCAUGUCCAGCUGAAUAACUGGCCACUACAUGACCCUCCACACCUCCAGGGUGGAGGCAGAGUUUGUAAGCUUGUGGCCUGCAGACCUAAAGUGGCCCAAAGAUGUAUUCUUUCUGAGCCCUCUCCCAAGUGAUUUGAAAAAUUAAGCCACACUAAAACAACAGGAGAUUUCACGCACACACAAAUUGAGAUUUCUAGCAUCUCUUAAAAGAUAACAAAGAAAUAAGCACUUAAAACUGAACUCAUAUUCCACAUGGCAGCACCAACUGGCCAAGAUUCAGUGGCUGCUGCUCCUUUACAGAGCAACGGCGAUGCUUCUGUGCCAGUGUGUGGCGGUGAAAGCAGGACCCUGGGGCCGGCCUGUCUAGCUGCCCUCCAACUCCACCCCUUACUAGCUGUGGGAACUUGUUAACUGUUCUGUUCCUCCGUUUACUCAUCAGUAAAAUGUGAUUCAUUGUGCUUAUCUAUUAGGUUGUUGUAAAGAUUAAAUAAAUUAACAAGUAUACUGCGCUUCAACUAGUGCCAUGUAAAUAUAGUAGUAUUACAAAAGCCUUUGAUAUUAUUACUAAUAUAGUAUUAAUAUCUUGUCUUCUAAAUUAUUUAGUUAUGUUAAUCCUCCUAAGAAUCCUGUAAGGUAGGUGAAGAAACUGAGGCAUGGAGAGGUUGGAAAACCUGCCUAAACUUGUCACAUGGUCACAUUGCACAUUACUAGUAAGCAGUGAAACCUCCUCAGGGGUCUGUGAUCUAAACCACCAUGCUAUAGAAUGACAUUCCUUUAGGUGGGACCCACACUCUCCAGUUUUCCUUAGUACUCACCAUUUCCACAGCAUAUGCAUAUAAAUGUGCACAUUCCUUUUCUAUCUUCCCAUCCACUGCCCUGUCCUCCUUUGGGUUAUCUCCCUGGCCCCUGCAUGCAUUUGAGUUUGGAACCCCUAGUCUAGAAAAGUGGAUAUGCUGAAUAGCUGACUGUGUCCUCCAGGUAGAUUACCUCUCCCAAUAAGGCUUUUAUGAAGAGCCAAAGAGAAGACAAAUUGUGCCCAGUGAGGGUCUAUUUUAGUGUGGGUAGUCUGUGAUAGCAGACAAGCAGCAU
rnacentral:lncRNA from 10 species